rnacentral:rRNA from 1 species
ACAAUGGAGAGUUUGAUCCUGGCUCAGGAUGAACGCUAGCGGCAGGCCUAACACAUGCAAGUCGAGGGGCAUCACGAGGUAGCAAUACUUUGGUGGCGACCGGCGCACGGGUGCGUAACG